GGCAGGUACAGCGGGAAGCCACCUGGCGACAGGGAGCGGAACCCGAAAGCCUGUCUCAGUUCGGAUUGGAGUCUGCAACCCGACUCCAUGAAGCUGGAUUCGCUAGUAAUCGCGCAUCAGCCACGGCGCGGUGAAUACGUUCCCGGGCCUUGUACACACCGCCCGUCAAGCCAUGGAAGCCGGGGGUGCCUGAAGUGCGCUGCCGCAAGGAGCGCCCUAGGGUAAAACCGGUGACUGGGGCUAAGUCGUAACAAGGUACC
rnacentral:rRNA from 1 species